AUGUCGAUUUUAGGAUAACGGUUGUUUUUUCCCUGUGUUUCUCAUGUUGUCAUCUAAUCGUGUCAUUAAGAAAACAGAUUUGAAUGAAACUGGAUGGAGUCACAGACUUCAAACUACAAUCAAACGUCCUAAGAUCAGGUCAUUAAGAAAACAGAUUUGAAUUAAAUUGGACGGAGUCACGGGUUUUAAACUAGCAUCAAACGUUCCUAAGGUCAUUAAGUAAACAGAUUUGAAUGAAACUGGAUGGAGUCACAGACUUCAAACUACAGUCAAACGAUCCUAAGAAAACACAUUUUCUUGAUGCUGGAAUGAGUCUCAGAUGUCGUAAUUCUUUGCAACGUUCCUAAGGUAAGCUGGUGAGUUUUUCUUUUGAUCAAGGCCCAGAUGUUUGGGUAGACACUUCAAGUGUUCUGCUACAUUUUGCUAACACUUGAUGACGUCUACUCAUAGUAGCAUGUCUUCACCAUACUCCAGUGUAAAAAGUUGUCCAUUUAAAGAUUAAGGUUGCUGUUAUUCUGUAUUUUUUGUGUUGUCAAAUAAUCAAUUUAUUAAGUAAACAGAUCUUAUUGAUACUGGAGGGUGUCACAGAUGUCCAAAUAGCCUACUUUCUAACGUUCCUAAGGUAAGCUGGUGAAUUUUUCUUUUGAUCAAGGCCAAGAGGUUUGGGUAGACACUUCAAGUGUACUGCAACACUUGACAACGUCUACUCAUAGUACCAUGUCUUCACCAUGCCCCAUGUAAAAAAAUGUCGAUUUUAGGAUAACGGUUGUUUUUUCCCUGUGUUUCUCAUGUUGUCAUCUAAUCGUGUCAUUAAGAAAACAGAUUUGAAUGAAACUGGAUGGAGUCACAGACUUCAAACUACAAUCAAACGUCCUAAGGUAACCUGAUGAUUUUUAAUAUUGAUCAAGACCUAGAAGUUUGGUAGACAUCUCAAGUAUGUUGCUACAUUUCACUCACACUUGAUGACGUCUACUCAUGGUAGCAUGUCUUCACCAUACCGCAUGCAAAAUAAAUGUCUAUUUGAGGAGAAAAGUCCUUUUUUUCUGAUUUUUUUUCUUGUUUUCAGCAGAUCAGGUCAUUAAGAAAACAGAUUUGAAUUAAAUUGGACGGAGUCACGGGUUUUAAACUAGCAUCAAACGUUCCUAAGAUCAGGUCAUUAAGAAAGCAGAUUUGAAUACAAUUGGGCGGAGUCACAGGUUUUAAACUACCAUCAAAUGUUCUUGAAGUAAGCUGAUGAUUUUUAGUUUUUUAUGAAGUCUUAUAGGUUUGGGCUGACACCUCAUGCGUACUGCUGCAUUUCAUUCACAGCUGAUAACCUCUAUUCAUCGCAGCAUGUCUUCACCAUACCCCAAUGUACAAAAUUGUCUAUUUUAGGAUAACGGUUGUUUUUUCCCUGUAUUUCUCUUGUUGUCAUCUCAUCAGGUCAUUAAGUAAACAGAUUUGAAUGAAACUGGAUGGAGUCACAGACUUCAAACUACAGUCAAACGAUCCUAAGGUAACCUGAUGAUUUUUAAUAUUGAUCAAGUUCUAUAAGUUUCGUAGACAUCUCAAGUGUGUUGCUACAUUUCACUCACACUUGAUAACCUCUACUCAUAGUAGCAUGUCUUCACCAUACCGCAUGCAAAAUAAAUGUCUAUUUGAGGAGAAAAGUCCUUUUUUUCUGAUUUUUUUUCUUGUUUUCAGCAGAUCAGGUCAUUAAGAAAACAGAUUUGAAUUAAAUUGGACGGAGUCACGGGUUUUAAACUAGCAUCAAACGUUCCUAAGGUCAUUAAGUAAACAGAUUUGAAUGAAACUGGAUGGAGUCACAGACUUCAAACUACAGUCAAACGAUCCUAAGAAAACACAUUUUCUUGAUGCUGGAAUGAGUCUCAGAUGUCGUAAUUCUUUGCAACGUUCCUAAGGUAAGCUGGUGAGUUUUUCUUUUGAUCAAGGCCCAGAUGUUUGGGUAGACACUUCAAGUGUUCUGCUACAUUUUGCUAACACUUGAUGACGUCUACUCAUAGUAGCAUGUCUUCACCAUACUCCAGUGUAAAAAGCUGUCCAUUUAAAGAUUAAGGUUGCUGUUAUUCUGUAUUUUUUGUGUUGUCAAAUAAUCAAUUUAUUAAGUAAACAGAUCUUAUUGAUACUGGAGGGUGUCACAGAUGUCCAAAUAGCCUACUUUCUAACGUUCCUAAGGUAAGCUGGUGAAUUUUUCUUUUGAUCAAGGCCAAGAGGUUUGGGUAGACACUUCAAGUGUACUGCAACACUUGACAACGUCUACUCAUAGUACCAUGUCUUCACCAUGCCCCAUGUAAAAAAAUGUCGAUUUUAGGAUAACGGUUGUUUUUUCCCUGUGUUUCUCAUGUUGUCAUCUAAUCGUGUCAUUAAGAAAACAGAUUUGAAUGAAACUGGAUGGAGUCACAGACUUCAAACUACAAUCAAACGUCCUAAGGUAACCUGAUGAUUUUUAAUAUUGAUCAAGACCUAGAAGUUUGGUAGACAUCUCAAGUAUGUUGCUACAUUUCACUCACACUUGAUGACGUCUACUCAUGGUAGCAUGUCUUCACCAUACCGCAUGCAAAAUAAAUGUCUAUUUGAGGAGAAAAGUCCUUUUUUCUGAUUUUUUUUCUUGUUUUCAGCAGAUCAAGUUAUUAAGAAAACAGAUUUGAAUUAAAUUGGACGGAGUCACGGGUUUUAAACUAGCAUCAAACGUUCCUAAGGUCAUUAAGUAAACAGAUUUGAAUGAAACUGGAUGGAGUCACAGACUUCAAACUACAGUCAAACGAUCCUAAGGUAACCUGAUGAUUUUUAAUAUUGAUCAAGUUCUGUAAGUUUCGUAGACAUCUCAAGUGUGUUGCUACAUUUCACUCACACUUGAUAACCUCUACUCUUCGUAGAAUGUCUUCACCAUACUGCAUAUAAAAAUAUUUCAAUGUAAAGCUUAAGAUUGGUGUUAUUCUGUAUUUGUUGUGUUGUCAAUUAAUCCACUUAUUAAGAAAACACAUUUUCUUGAUGCUGGAAUGAGUCUCAGAUGUCGUAAUUCUUUGCAACGUUCCUAAGGUAAGCUGGUGAGUUUUUCUUUUGAUCAAGGCCCAGAUGUUUGGGUAGACACUUCAAGUGUUCUGCUACAUUUUGCUAACACUUGAUGACGUCUACUCAUAGUAGCAUGUCUUCACCAUACUCCAGUGUAAAAAGUUGUCCAUUUAAAGAUUAAGGUUGCUGUUAUUCUGUAUUUUUUGUGUUGUCAAAUAAUCAAUUUAUUAAGUAAACAGAUCUUAUUGAUACUGGAGGGUGUCACAGAUGUCCAAAUAGCCUACUUUCUAACGUUCCUAAGGUAAGCUGGUGAAUUUUUCUUUUGAUCAAGGCCAAGAGGUUUGGGUAGACACUUCAAGUGUACUGCAACACUUGACAACGUCUACUCAUAGUACCAUGUCUUCACCAUGCCCCAUGUAAAAAAAUGUCGAUUUUAGGAUAACGGUUGUUUUUUCCCUGUGUUUCUCAUGUUGUCAUCUAAUCGUGUCAUUAAGAAAACAGAUUUGAAUGAAACUGGAUGGAGUCACAGACUUCAAACUACAAUCAAACGUCCUAAGGUAACCUGAUGAUUUUUAAUAUUGAUCAAGACCUAGAAGUUUGGUAGACAUCUCAAGUAUGUUGCUACAUUUCACUCACACUUGAUGACGUCUACUCAUGGUAGCAUGUCUUCACCAUACCGCAUGCAAAAUAAAUGUCUAUUUGAGGAGAAAA